rnacentral:ncRNA from 12 species
CCUUUGGCUAGGCUUAUAACCGAAAAGCGAGAAGCCCCCUCGCCUGCCAAAGACUAUUCAGGGGC